rnacentral:rRNA from 1 species
AUUGAACGCUGGCGGCAGGCCUAACACAUGCAAGUCGAACGGAGCGGCGGACGGGUGAGUAAUGCCUAGGAAUCUGCCUGGUAGUGGGGGAUAACGUCCGGAAACGGGCGCUAAUACCGCAUACUAUCAGAUGAGCCUAGGUCGGAGUAGCUAGAGGGUGGGGUAAAGGCAUACCCAGGCGACGAUCCGUAACUGGGCUGAGAGGAUGAUAAGUCAAACUGGAACUGAGAAAAGGUCCAGACUCCUAUGGUAGGCAGCAGUGGGGAAGAUUGGACAAGGGGCGAAAGCCUGAUCCAGCCAUGCCGCGUGUGUGAAGAAGGUCUUCGGAUUGUAAAGCACUUUAAGUUGGGAGGCGUUACCAACAGAAUAAGCACCGGCUAACUUCGUGCCAGCAGCCGCGGUAAUAC